ACGAGGGAAGCUUAGCAGAUGCUUGUGCCACAGGCAACUACGAAUACGUGAACAUCGCCACCCUUUUCAAGUUUGGCAUGGGCCAAACUCCAGAGAUCAACCUCGCUAGCCACUGUGACCCUCAGAACAACGGCUGCGCGCGCUUAAGCAGCGAAAUCCAGUCCUGCCAGGAGCGUGGAGUCAAGGUGAUGCUCUCCAUCGGAGGUGGCGGGUCUUAUGGCCUGAGUUCCACCGAAGACGCCAAGGACGUGGCGUCAUACCUCUGGCACAGUUUCUUGGGUGGUUCUGCUGCUCGCUACUCUCGACCCCUCGGGGAUGCGGUUCUGGAUGGCAUAGACUUCAACAUCGCCGGAGGGAGCACAGAACACUACGAUGAACUUGCCGCUUUCCUCAAGGCCUACAACGAGCAGGAGGCCGGAACGAAGAAAGUUCACUUGAGUGCUGCUCCGCAGUGUCCUUUCCCGGAUUACUGGCUUGGCAACGCACUCAGAACAGAUCUCUUCGACUUCGUGUGGGUGCAGUUCUUCAACAACCCUUCGUGCCAUUUCUCCCAGAACGCUAUCAAUCUUGCAAAUGCGUUCAACAAUUGGGUCAUGUCCAUCCCUGCGCAAAAGCUGUUCCUUGGGCUUCCUGCUGCUCCUGAGGCUGCUCCAAGUGGUGGCUACAUUCCACCCCAUGNNNNNNNNNNNNNNNNNNNNAUCUCAUAUCUAAAGUUCUUCCGAUCCUAAAGGAUUCCGACAAGUACGCAGGAAUCAUGCUGUGGACUAGAUACCACGACAGAAACUCCGGCUACAGUUCUCAAGUCAAGUCCCACGUGUGUCCAGCGCGUCGGUUCUCCAACAUCUUAUCUAUGCCGGUGAAGU
rnacentral:lncRNA from 1 species